GAUGAAGAACGUAGCGAAAUGCGAUAAGUAAUGUGAAUUGCAGAAUUCAGUGAAUCAUCGAAUCUUUGAACGCACAUUGCGCCCCUUGGUAUUCCAUGGGGCAUGCCUGUUCGAGCGUCAUUUGUACCUUCAAGCUCUGCUUGGUGUUGGGUGUUUGUCUCGCCUCUGCGUGUAGACUCGCCUUAAAACAAUUGGCAGCCGGCGUAUUGAUUUCGGAGCGCAGUACAUCUCGCGCUUUGCACUCAUAACGACGACGUCCAAAAGUACAUUUUUACACUCUUGACCUCGGAUCAGGUAGGGAUACCCGCUGAACUUAAGCAUAUCAAUAAGCGGAGGA
rnacentral:misc_RNA from 1 species